rnacentral:rRNA from 1 species
GAUGAACGCUAGCGGCAGGCCUAAUACAUGCAAGUCGAACGGUGUCUUCGGACAUAGUGGCGCACGGGUGCGUAACACGUAUGCAACCUACCUUACAUUGGGGGAUAGCCUUUCGAAAGGGAGAUUAAUACCGCAUAAGACAGUAGCUGGGCAUCCAGCAGCUGUUAAAGAUUUAUCGAUGUAAGCUGGGCAUGCGUCCAGUUAGCUAGUUGGUGAGGUAACGGCUCACCAAGGCAAUGAUUGGUUGGGGAACUGAGAGGUCAAUCCCCCACACUGGCACUGAGAUACGGGCCAGACUCCUACGGGAGGCAGCAGUAGGGAAUAUUGGGCAAUGGACGCAAGUCUGACCCAGCCAUGCCGCGUGCAGGAUGAAGGCGUUAUGCGUUGUAAACUGCUUUUAUACAGGAAGAAACGACUCUUGCUAGAGGCAUUGACGGUACUGUAUGAAUAAGCACCGGCUAACUCCGUGCCAGCCGCCGCGGUAACAC